CCCUUAGAUGUUCUGGGCCGCACGCGCGCUACACUGAUACACUCAACGAGUUCCUGUCUUGAAAGAGUCGGGUAAUCAUUUGAGCGUGUAUCGUGAUGGGGAUAGAAUAUUGUAAUUAUUACUCUUCAACGAGGAAUUCCUAGUAGUCACUGUUCAUCAGACAGUGACGACUAUGUCCCUGCCCUUUGUACACACCGCCCGUCGCUCCUACCGAUUGAAUGAUCCGAUGAAUAUCAUGGAUUGAGGAUGCAAGCAGGUUCGCCUGUCUUCAUCUUCGAGAAGUGAAGUAAAUCUUAUCAUUUAGAGGAAGGAGAAGUCGUAACA
rnacentral:rRNA from 1 species